CAAUAGCGUAUAUUAAAGUUGUUGCGGUUAAAAAGCUCGUAGUUGGAUUUCUGCUGAGGACGACCGGUCCGCCCUCUGGGUGAGUAUCUGGCUCGGCCUGGGCAUCUUCUUGGAGAACGUAGCUGCACUUGACUGUGUGGUGCGGUAUCCAAGACCUUUACUUUGAGGAAAUUGGAGUGUUUCAAGCAGGCACAUGCCUUUGGACACAGUAGCAUGGAAUAAUUAGAUUGGGCUUUUGCUCCAACUUGUUGGUUCCUGGAGCUGAGGUGAGAAUCAAUGGGGAUUGUUGGGGGCAUCCGAAUUUAGCCGUCAGAGGUGAAAUUCUUGGAUCUGCUAAAGACGGACAACUGCGAAAGCAUUUACCAAGGAUGUUUUCAUUA
rnacentral:rRNA from 1 species